rnacentral:rRNA from 1 species
GGCGGACGGGUGAGUAAUACUUAGGAAUCUGCCCAUUAGUGGGGGACAACAUUCGGAAACGGAUGCUAAUACCGCAUACGCCCUACGGGGGAAAGCGGGGGAUCUUCGGACCUCGCGCUAAUGGAUGAGCCUAAGUCGGAUUAGCUUGUUGGUGAGGUAAAAGCUCACCAAGGCGACGAUCCGUAGCUGGUCUGAGAGGACGAUCAGCCACACUGGGACUGAGACACGGCCCAG